GAUUCUUUACCACCUGGAAAGCACCAUUAUGACCUCAAGCAAGAAAUUCUUGUACUCCAGCUGGGUGUCCCACAAUUCAACUCCAAGGUUAUCUACCUGAAGCGCGUGAGAUCUCAUGUCCUCCCGGUCUUCCCUCCAGCACACACAUCAGAUGCCGAGCCGAGAACACAAGCCUGCUGCUGACAAGAAGAAAUGCUGCUCAUUGACAGACUGGGGCUGGAAGGCGGGACCCAAGUCACAGCUUCAGCCCGCGGAGGAGGAUCGGCUCCAGAGGCGCAUCAGCAGACAGUCACCUGAUGGUGAGAAUACUGGAGUGGGUUGCCAUGCCUUCAUCCAGGUGAUCUUCCCGACCCAGGGAGGGAACCCGUGUCGCUAAUGUCUCCUACACUGCCCCAUGGACUGCAUCCCACCAGCUCCUCUGUCCAUGGGAUUCUCCAGGCAAGAAUGCUAGAAUGUGUUGCCAUUCCCUUCUCCAGGGGAUCUUCCUGACUCAGAGAUCAAACCCAGGUCUCCCACAAUGCAGGCAGAUUCUUUACUCUCUGAGCCACUGAGAAGCCCUUUUCAAGGUAUUAGAUUGUAAGAUUACACAUGUUUAUUUUCUGUUUGUUUUUAUGUGAUAUUUGUGUGAAAAGUACCAUAAACUUAUUACAAUAAAAUACUAUAUAGC
ensembl:lncRNA